UACGUAGGGGGCAAGCGUUGUCCGGAGUUACUGGGCGUAAAGAGCGUGUAGGCGGCCAAACAGGUCCGUUGUGAAAACUGGAGGCUCAACCUCCAGACGUCGACGGAAACCGUGUGGCUAGAGUCCGGAAGAGGAGAGUGGAAUUCCUGGUGUAGCGGUGAAAUGCGCAGAUAUCAGGAAGAACACCAAUGGCGAAGGCAGCUCUCUGGGACGGUACUGACGCUGAGACGCGAAAGCGUGGGGAGCGAACAGG
rnacentral:rRNA from 1 species